AUUCCAGCUCCAAUAGCGUAUAUUAAAGUUGUUGCAGUUAAAAAGCUCGUAGUUGGAUUUCUGGUGAGUUCGUUUGGCCGGCCGUAAAGGUCUGUGCCGAAAUGUUAUUCGCCAUCCUUGGUGUAAUCUUGUCCGCCAUUAAGUUGUGUGGGCUUGAGGAUGCCAUCGUUUACUGUGAAAAAAUUAGAGUGUUCAAAGCAGGCUUAUGCCGUUGAAUACAUUAGCAUGGAAUAAUAAGAUAGGACCCUGGUACUAUUUUGUUGGUUUGCGCACCUAGGUAAUGAUUAAUAGGGACAGUGGGGGGUAUUUGUAUUCCGUUGUCAGAGGUGAAAUUCUCGGAUUUACGGAAGACAAACUACUGCGAAAGCAUUUACCAGGGAUGUUUUCAUUG
rnacentral:rRNA from 1 species